rnacentral:lncRNA from 1 species
CUCCGAUUGGGCGUCCCCGGGGGUGUGUGGGGGGGCGGGGCGCCCGCGGGGGCCGCCGGCCGGUGGUACGGCCCAGCCACCGGCCUCCAACACCCCUCGCCGCGGCUCAAGUUUCUGCGCCCGGAGGACGCGGCCUCGGCCAAUCCCCGGGCUACAGGGCGCUUUUAAAAUGCAGGCCCAACCCCGUGCAAAUGAAUCCGGGUUUGGAGAGGGUUUCAGCUUACACUUGGGGAGGCGGCAAGCCACUCCCCCGUCCCAAGCCAGAUCAAACAGCUCCCUGGAGGUAUCCCCCAAAGGAAGCCCGUGCAGAGAGCUCCUGGAAGAGAAGAGCUUCGUGGUCAUGACAAGCUCAGCUUUGUCAUGGAAAUAGUAAAAGCCUGGGUGGCUCAGUUGGUUGAGCAUCUGCCUUCAUUUUGGAUCGUGAUCCUCGAGCCCCAUAUCCGGCUUCCUGCUCAGCAGGGAGUCUGCUUGUCCCGUUCCUUCCCCGCCCCUCUUGCGUGUGCUCUCUCUGUCUCCCUCUCUCUCAAAUAAAUAAAUAAAAUCUUUAAAAAGAGAAAAAAAA